CCACCCCCUCACCUGACUCCCCCAUAUUUCUUUUCCACAAAUAAAAGGCGUAUAUAGGCACCAAGAACAGAUUAAAAAUAUACAACACUGAUCUUACCAGCACAAACCAUGGGAUAGACUCCUCACCAUCAAUCUCACAAUCACACACACUCACCAGAAUACGCGCACACAUACUAUAUUGUUAUACAUGCACGCACAGAUCAAAGAGAAAAGAAAUCGAGAGCGAGAGAGAGAGAGCUGAAAUCGAGGGAGAAAUCGAGGGAUAUUGAGACAGAUCGGAGAAAGAGAGGGUGAAAAUAAGGAGAGGAAGAGAGAAAACUGACGGGGGUAGAUCAUUCUGGCGAUUCAUCGCCAGAAAAACAUCAUCGUUGAUCCAAAAUUUAUUCUAAAAUUUUCUUCUUUUUAAUCCUUCUAAGCUCGUCGGAGUUCCUUCAGCUCCGUCCCAUUCUGGCAAAAUCACUGAACUAGCCGCAUCGCCAAUUCAGUUUUCUCCAAAGUCCGGCAAGCCAUUUUCUUCCCGUCACUGCCUGAGCUCACCGGAGCUCUGGUGAGUCAUGAAACAUCGGAAGAAAACAAGGGGGGGUCAUCUUUGGAAUUUUGGGUUUCGAGUUCGAGCUUCGUCCGUGGUUCAUUGGUUCCGAGGCUCCCGUCGUCGUUGAAAUUAGUUCAAUUGGUCGAAUAAAAGCCCCAAUUUAAGGUCCAUAUUUUUAUCUCAUUCUUAUCCUCGGUUAAUUUUUAUUGUUGUGUGUGGUUGAUUGUUAUCGUCUCGACUUUUUCUUAUCUUAUGCGUGAUAUGAAUGAUGAAUGUCGAGUGAUAUUGAUUGUGGAUUAUUAUCGUUAAUUUGUUAUGUUGGAACAAUGGUUAAAAAUGAUUUGAGGAUGGGAAUCGGAAGUUAAUGGAAUCGAUCGUUUGAUUUGAAAUGGAUAUUAAUGUUGUUGAAUUUGGAUAAAUUUUGAUUCAUUGAAGUUGUAUGUGAUAUAAUCGUGAUAGGUCGAGCGGGUAGGCAAGCACUAGGCUCGGGUAGGCAAAAUUUAGAAUUGGUGGAUUAUUGAGUAAUUUUGAAUGUUUAUUGAAUGAUCGCAUUUGGAAAUGCAUUCAUUUUGCCAGGGAAUGCCCCGUGGUCACUUGUAUUUAUUCACCGGGGAAUGCCCCGAAGUACCGUGUACGCAAUGGAGGUUCGUGAUGAAGGCCCGAGGCAUCAGAUAACUCAUUGGAGUUUAGUUCAGGAGUAGUUUAAGGAUAGUUCAGAAUAGAAUAGGUUUACAUUUUCCAUUAUUUUUUAUUUGUAAUAAAUUGGACUGGACACUAAAUCUUGGAUUGUUUUGUUUUGUUUGCUUGCUUGAUUGUUCAACGUGCUUUGUGUGGUCUAUACUUUCGUAGUGUCAGAUUAGCCGAUAUGCUCCACCAAGCGACCGUGGUCGAACCACGGGAUUGAGGGGUUCCUAACACCUUCCCCUCGGUCAACAGAACUCCUU
rnacentral:lncRNA from 1 species